GAUGAACGCUGGCGGCGUGCUUAACACAUGCGAGUCGAACGGAAAGGCCCAAGCUUGCUUGGGUACUCGAGUGGCGAACGGGUGAGUAACACGUGGGUGAUCUGCCCUGCACUUCGGGAUAAGCCUGGGAAACUGGGUCUAAUACCGGAUAGGACCACUUCCUGGAUGUUGUGGUGGAAAGUUUUUUCGGUGUGGGAUGAGCUCGCGGCCUAUCAGCUUGUUGGUGGGGUAAUGGCCUACCAAGGCGUCGACGGGUAGCCGGCCUGAGUGGGUGUACGGCCACAUUGGGACUGAGAUACGGCCCAGACUCCUACGGGAGGCAGCAGUGGGGAAUAUUGCACAAUGGGCGCAAGCCUGAUGCAGCGACGCCGCGUGGGGGAUGACGGCCUUCGGGUUGUAAACUCCUUUCGCUAGGGACGAAGCGUUUUGUGACGGUACCGGGAGAAGAAGCACGGGCUAACUACGG
rnacentral:rRNA from 1 species